rnacentral:rRNA from 1 species
AGCAGCCGCGGUAAUUCCAGCUCCAAUAGCGUAUAUUAAAGUUGUUGCAGUUAAAAAGCUCGUAGUUGAAUUUCGGGAUCAGUACGCUGGUCGUGCCUUGGUACGUACUGGUGUUACUGGUUCCUACCUUCUGACGAACCGUCAUGUCAUUAAUUUGGUGCGGCGGGAAAUCAGGACUGUUACUUUGAAAAAAUUAGAGUGUUUAAAGCAGGCUCGCGCUUGAAUAUAUUAGCAUGGAAUAAUGAAAUAGGACGUUCGAUCCUAUUUUGUUGGUUUCUAGGAUUGACGUAAUGAUUAAUAGGGAUAGUUGGGGGCAUUAGUAUUCAAUUGUCAGAGGUGAAAUUCUUGGAUUUAUUGAAGACUAACUACUGCGAAAGCAUUUGCCAAGGAUGUUUUCAUUAAUCAAGAACGAAAGUUAGGGGAUCGAAGACGAUCAGAUACCGUCGUAGUCUUAACCAUAAACUAUGCCGACUAGGGAUCGGAUGAUGUUAAUUUUUAAUGACUCAUUCGGCGCCUUAAC